UCUCUGGUGGCUCAGUUGAUAAAGAAUCUGCCUGCAAUGCAGGAGACCCAGGUUUGAUCCCUGGGUGGGGAA
rfam:TPA: Bos taurus chromosome 29, whole genome shotgun sequence.